GAUGAACGCUGGCGGCGUGCCUAAUACAUGCAAGUCGAGCGAACGGACGAGAAGCUUGCUUCUCUGAUGUUAGCGGCGGACGGGUGAGUAACACGUGGAUAACCUACCUAUAAGACUGGGAUAACUUCGGGAAACCGGAGCUAAUACCGGAUGAUAUUUUGAACCGCAUGGUUCAAAAGUGAAAGACGGUCUUGCUGUCACUUAUAGAUGGAUCCGCGCUGCAUUAGCUAGUUGGUAAGGUAACGGCUUACCAAGGCAACGAUGCAUAGCCGACCUGAGAGGGUGAUCGGCCACACUGGAAAUGAGACACGGUCCAGACUCCUAAGGGAGGCAGCAGUAGGGAAUCUUCCGCAAUGGGCGAAAGCCUGACGGAGCAACGCCGCGUGAGUGAUGAAGGUCUUCGGAUCGUAAAACUCUGUUAUUAGGGAAGAACAUAUGUGUAAGUAACUGUGCACAUCUUGACGGUACCUAAUCAGAAAGCCACGGCUAACUACGUG
rnacentral:rRNA from 1 species